UACGAAGGGGGCUAGCGUUGUUCGGAAUUACUGGGCGUAAAGCGCGCGCAGGCGGUCUUCCAAGUCAGUGGUGAAAGCCUGGAGCUCAACUCCAGAACUGCCAUUGAAACUGUUAGACUUGAGUACGAGAGAGGUGAGUGGAAUUCCCAGUGUAGAGGUGAAAUUCGUAGAUAUUGGGAAGAACACCAGUGGCGAAGGCGGCUCUCUGGGUCGUAACUGACGCUCAGGCGCGACAGCGUGGGGAUCAAACAGG
rnacentral:rRNA from 1 species